rnacentral:rRNA from 1 species
GCAAGUCGAGCGCUCACUUCGGUGGGAGCGGCGGACGGGUUAGUAACGCGUGGGAACGUGCCCUUCUCUACGGAAUAGCCUCGGGAAACUGAGAGUAAUACCGUAUACGCCCUUCGGGGGAAAGAUUUAUCGGAGAAGGAUCGGCCCGCGUUGGAUUAGGUAGUUGGUGGGGUAAUGGCCUACCAAGCCGACGAUCCAUAGCUGGUUUGAGAGGACGAUC